CCUGGUGGCUCAGAGGUUAAAGCGUCUGCCUGGAAUGCAGGAGACCCAGGUUCGAUCCCUGGGCCAGGA
rnacentral:tRNA from 1 species